GGGGCCAUAGCUCAGCUGGGAGAGCGCCUGCUUUGCACGCAGGAGGUCAGGAGUUCGAUCCUCCUUGGCUCACCA
rnacentral:tRNA from 1 species